UACGAAGGGGCUAGCGUUGCUCGGAAUCACUGGGCGUAAAGGGUGCGUAGGCGGGUCUUUAAGUCAGGGGUGAAAUCCUGGAGCUCAACUCCAGAACUGCCUUUGAUACUGGAGAGCUUGAGUCCGGGAGAGGUGAGUGGAACUCCGGAGUGUAGAGGUGAAAUACGUAGAUAAUCUGGAGGAACACCGGUGGCGAAGGCGGCGAUCUGGCCCAACAUUGACACUCAGACCCCGAAAGUGCGGGGAUCAAACAGG
rnacentral:rRNA from 1 species